rnacentral:rRNA from 1 species
AGCGAACGCUGGCGGCAGGCCUAACACAUGCAAGUCGAGCGCGAAAAUUCCUUCGGGGAUGAGUAGAGCGGCGGACGGGUGAGUAACGCGUAGGAAUCUGCCCGGUAGUGGGGGACAACAGUCGGAAACGACUGCUAAUACCGCAUACGCCCUAAGGGGGAAAGGCAGGGGAGUCUUCGGACCUUGCGCUAUCGGAUGAGCCUGCGUCGGAUUAGCUUGUUGGUGGGGUAAGUGGCCUACCAAGGCGACGAUCCGUAGCUGGUCUGAGAGGAUGAUCAGCCACACUGGGACUGAGACACGGCCCAGACUCCUACGGGAGGCAGCAGUGGGGAAGUAUUGGACAAUAGGGGGAACCCGGUACGAUACCACGCAAUAGCCGCCGUGUGU